rnacentral:rRNA from 1 species
GGCCUAACACAUGCAAGUCGAACGAGGAUCAUCGGGUUAGCAAUAACUCGGUGGUUCUAGUGGCGCACGGGUGAGUAACACGUGGGUAACCUGCCCUCGAGUCUGGGAUACCCCCUCGAAAGGGGGGCUAAUACCGGAUACGUUCCUCGGAUCGAAAGGUUUGGGGAGGAAAGGUGGCGAAAGCUGCCGCUCUUGGAGGGGCUCGCGGCCUAUCAGCUAGUUGGCGGGGUAACGGCCCACCAAGGCUAUGACGGGUAGCUGGUCUGAGAGGACGACCAGCCACACGGGGACUGAGACACGGCCCCGACUCCUACGGGAGGCAGCAGUGGGGAAUUUUCCGCAAUGGGCGAAAGCCUGACGGAGUGACGCCGCGUGUGGGACGAAGGCCUUCGGGUCGUAAACCACUGUCAGUGGGAAAGAUGGGUGUCGGCGCGAUAACCGUCGGCAUCUGACGGUACCUGCAGAGGAAGCCCCGGCUAACUCUGUGCCAGCAGCCGCGGUAAGACAGAGGGGGCAAGCGUUGCUCGGAAUUACUGGGCGUAAAGGGCGCGUAGGCGGGAUGGCAAGUCGGUCGUGAAAGACCUCGGCUCAACUGAGGAGCGUCGAUCGAUACUGCCGUUCUUGAGGAUUGCAGAGGAGACUGGAAUUCCCGGUGUAGCGGUGAAAUGUGUAGAGAUCGGGAGGAACACCGGUGGCGAAGGCGGGUCUCUGGGCAAUUCCUGACGCUGAGGCGCGAAAGCGUGGGGAGCAAACGGGAUUAGAUACCCCGGUAGUCCACGCUGUAAACGAUGACGACUAGGUGUGGGGGGGGUUCAGUCCCUUCCGUGCCGCAGCUAACGCAUUAAGUCGUCCGCCUGGGGAGUACGGCCGCAAGGUUGAAACUCAAAGGAAUUGACGGGGGCCCGCACAAGCGGUGGAACAUGUGGUUCAAUUCGAUGC